UCCAAGCAUUGGAAAACUGUCCG
rnacentral:piRNA from 1 species